CGCGUGGGUGGGCAGUGGGGUCUCAAUUUACAGGAAAUACCAUCUUCCCAGGAGAGCUUUCCCACCUCUUGUUCCUCCCAUCCCUUAGGCCGUCCCCCCAACCCCCAGCCUCUCUUACAGACAGGCAGGAAAUUGGAAACAGCUCUUCCGGAGGACCAGAGUCCUCUAGGUGACCCAAAGAGAAUGCCUUCCUUCUUCUGGGGCCUCAGUUUCCUCAUCUGUACGAUGGGAGUAUACCACUCACAGUUAUGCUUCAGCUUACCAAUAAGUCUCCAGCAAGUCAAGGUUGAAUCCCUGGUCAGGAGAGAUGCCACAUGCCUCGUGGCAACUAAGCCUGUGAGGCCCUGCUCUGCAAUAAGAGAAGCCACCACCAUCAGAAGCCCGCACACUGCAGCUGGAGGGUAGACCCCUGCUCGCUGCAACUGGACAAAGCUCAGGAGCAACAGCAAAUACCCAGCACGGCCAAAAAUAAAAAAAAAAAAAGAAGAAGAAGAAAUUAAUGGGAAAAAAAAAAUCAGGGAAACCUGGCGUGCUGCAAUCCAUGGGAUCAUCAAGAGUCAGACACGAUUUAGCACCUGAACAAAAACAAGGAAAACAAUAGCCGCUCCCAGCUCAUCGGGUUGUUUAAGGAUUAAAUGAGACAAGGCAUGAAAGAACCUAACAGAGAGCCUGAUCCUAUGCUCAAUAAAUUCUAAAAACAUU
ensembl:lncRNA